UCUCAACAUCAACAAUCAAAGAUCAGUAGCCGACAGUUUCAACUUUCAUUAAUACAAACGAAAAGCCCAGCUUUAACGUGAUUUACCCCACUCGUCUCACUCUCAAGCAUUCAAUCAACCUCAUCAUCUCCAAAGUAACCGAUGGAAACGCAAACUAUAAAUCCCCAAGCUCUCAGAGAUGAACAACCUCAGCGAAAUCGAGAAGAAUAGUCUUUUCUGAUUACCAACUCCGACAAUCUCAUCACCUUACCGGUUGAGAUGAGCUCCGAAACGUCGGCCGCUGGAGACGGCGGCGAAACGAGCGCUGGGCCAGCACCGGCAUACGACAAACAGAAGGAGAAGGCGCGCGUGAGCGGACCGUCUCUGAUCCUGUGCCACGACGCGCACCAGAACGACGCAUCUGCAGUCCGGAAGCUCCUGGAGAAAGAUCCGUCUCUGGUUCACGCCAGAGAUUACGACAACCAAACGUCUCGGGUGGAUCGAUGUUGUUAAAUGUCUGAUCGAGUUUGGUGCUGAUGUCAACGCUCAGGACAGGUGGAAGAACACGCCUCUGGCUGAUGCAGAAGCUAAUAUGAGCUAGGAAGCAGAAAAUGAUCGAGCUACUCAAAUCUCAUGGCGUUUUAUCUUAUGAACUUUCUCUGUGAAGCAAAGCAGCCUGCUUUAAUGCUUGUGGCUGAUUGAAUUUUGUCUACGCAUGGUCAAAACGGAAGUCACUUUGAACCAACGCCUUUGCCACCACCAAUUCCAAAGAAGUGUGACUGGGAGAUUGACCCUGUUGAGCUGGAUUUCUCAAAUGCAGCCAUGAUUGGAAAGGGUUCAUUUGGUGAGAUUGUGAAAGCCUAUUGGAGAGGAACACCAGUGGCUGUCAAACGUAUUCUUUCUUCUCUUUCAGAUGAUAGACUGGUUAUGUAAGUUCUUAUUUCUCUCUUUUGAUAUUAGCUGAUACCUUGGUAGAAGUCUGUCCUAAGAUUCUUGUGUAUUCAUACUUGGUGUACUUUAAAUGUAUAGAUUGAUUUCUAUUGUGAUACUUUAAUUUACAAGAACGGUUACUUCAAUGGUU